UUACUGGGCGUAAAGCGCACGUAGGCGGACUGGAAAGUUGGGGGGUGAAAUCCCGGGACUCAACCUCGGAACUGCCUCCAAAACUAUCAGUCUAGAGUUCGAGAGAGGUGAGUGGAAUUCCAAGUGUAGAGGUGAAAUUCGUAGAUAUUUGGAGGAACACCAGUGGCGAAGGCGGCUCACUGGCUCGAUACUGACGCUGAGGUGCGAAAGUGUGGGGAGCAAACAGGAUUAGAUACCCUGGUAGUCCACACCGUAAACGAUGAAUGCCAGUCGUCGGGUAGCAUGCUAUUCGGUGACACACCUAACGGAUUAAGCAUUCCGCCUGGGGAGUACGGUCGCAAGAUUAAAACUCAAAUGAAUUGACGGGGGCCCGCACAAGCAGUGGAGCAUGUGGUUUAAUUCGAUGCAACGCGAAGAACCUUACCAGGCCUUGACAUCCUCGGAACUUUCUAGAGAUAGAUUGGUGCCUUCGGGAACUCUGAGACAGGUGCUGCAUGGCU
rnacentral:rRNA from 1 species